UAGACCGCAAGCUCCCGACGCCUC
rnacentral:siRNA from 1 species